ensembl:snRNA U6 U6 spliceosomal RNA
GUGCUUACGUUGGCAGUACAUAUACUAAAACUGGAAGAAUACAGAGAAGAUUAGCAUGGCCUCUGGGCAAAGAUUACACAUAAAUUUGUGAAGUGUUUCAUGUUUUU